AGCGUAGGCGGGAUGCCAAGUAGAAUGUUAAAUCCAUCGGCUCAACUGGUGGCAGCGUUCUAAACUGGCGUUCUUGAGUGAGGUAGAGGCAGGCGGAAUUCCUAGUGUAGCGGUGAAAUGCGUAGAUAUUAGGAGGAACACCAGUGGCGAAGGCGGCCUGCUGGGCCUUAACUGACGCUGAGGCUCGAAAGCGUGGGAGCAAACA
rnacentral:rRNA from 1 species